rnacentral:rRNA from 1 species
AUCGUAAAGCUCUGUUGUAAGUCAAGAACGGGUGUGAGAGUGGAAAGUUCACACUGUGACGGUAGCUUACCAGAAAGGGACGGCUAACUACGUGCCAGCAGCCGCGGUAAUACGUAGGUCCCGAGCGUUGUCCGGAUUUAUUGGGCGUAAAGCGAGCGCAGGCGGUUUGAUAAGUCUGAAGUUAAAGGCUGUGGCUCAACCAUAGUUCGCUUUGGAAACUGUCAAACUUGAG